rnacentral:lncRNA from 1 species
GGCCUGAAUCGGUUAGAAUGGUGCAACCCAAUUUAUCGGGUCAAGAAAUUGAUAACCCAUUUAAGCAAGGAAAGUAGAUUAGGGGUUGCCAAUUAUGGGUUUUAGGGUGGUCAACAAUAGUCGGCAUGAAGGCCAGUAUGAUGGGUGCUUGCAACAAUGCCAGCUUGGGGCCUUCUACUGAAAUCAACCCAUGGUUCAUAUAAAAGGAUUUAAAUAUCCUCCGUUGGCCCACUAGGGUGUGUAUAGGGAGAAAGUCAAAGUAAGAGAGAACACAUGGAAGGAACAUAGGAACCUAGUCUCUUUUUUAUUCAUAGAUCCCUAUAUCCAAAAUGAGAGAGAAAGAAAGGUACAGAGAUAGAAAAUGGAAGAGAGACAAGAACAAAUCUCUCUUUUCCUCUUCUUCUUUCUUCAAAUAGGAUUGUUCCACUCUAUCCCUCCCUUCGUCUCUAACACAUCAUGAAGUAGCCAGUGGCUAGUUACCCACCAGCAUCCGGUGAAGGCUAAGGUGGUGACAAUGACCCUAGCUACAAUCCAUGGCCGCUGGUGGUCAGCAAAAACAAAGGAGAAAGGAAUGAAAUAGGGGAGACUAUCUCUCCCUUUCCAUGGUCAGAAUUGAUGGCUCAGGUCGACAGUAACCUAGAGCAGUGCUCUACCGUGGUAAGAGGAAUGACAAUGACGGUCUGUGGCCAGUGAUGGCCAAUAGCAGAUAGAGAAUCAGAGG